UACAGAGGUGGCGAGCGUUGUUCGGAUUUACUGGGCGUAAAGGGCGCGUAGGCGGCCGCGUGUGUCGCGUGUGAAAUCCCCGGGCUCAACCCGGGAAGUGCGCGCGAAACUGCGGGGCUCGAGCGGAGGAGGGGAGAGCGGGAUUCAUGGUGUAGCGGUGAAAUGCGUUGAUAUCAGGAGGAACACCGGCGGCGAAGGCGGCUUGCUGGACGGCAACUGACGUUGAGGCUCGAAAGCGUGGGGAGCAAACAGGAUUAGAUACCCCGGUAGUCCCUGA
rnacentral:rRNA from 1 species